rnacentral:rRNA from 1 species
UAGAGUUUGAUCAUGGCUCAGAUUGAACGCUGGCGGCAGGCCUAACACAUGCAAGUCGAGCGGUAGCACGGGAGAGCUUGCUCUCUGGGUGACGAGCGGCGGACGGGUGAGUAAUGUCUGGGAAACUGCCUGAUGGAGGGGGAUAACUACUGGAAACGGUAGCUAAUACCGCAUGAUGUCGCAAGACCAAAGUGGGGGACCUUCGGGCCUCACGCCAUCGGAUGUGCCCAGAUGGGAUUAGCUAGUAGGUGGGGUAAUGGCUCACCUAGGCGACGAUCCCUAGCUGGUCUGAGAGGAUGACCAGCCACACUGGAACUGAGACACGGUCCAGACUCCUACGGGAGGCAGCAGUGGGGAAUAUUGCACAAUGGGCGCAAGCCUGAUGCAGCCAUGCCGCGUGUGUGAAGAAGGCCUUAGGGUUGUAAAGCACUUUCAGCGAGGAGGAAGGCGUUGUAGUUAAUAGCUGCAACGAUUGACGUA